UACGUAGGUGGCAAGCGUUGUCCGGAUUUAUUGGGUUUAAAGGGUGCGUAGGUGGUCCCAUAAGUCAGUGCUGAAAUAUCCCGGCUUAACCGGGAGGGUGGCAUUGAUACUGCGGGACUUGAGUAAAGUUGAGGUAGGCGGAAUUGACGGUGUAGCGGUGAAAUGCUUAGAUAUCGGGAGGAACACCAGUGGCGAAGGCGACUACCUGGCCUGUUCUUGACGCUGAGGCGCGAAAGCUAGGGGAGCAAACGGG
rnacentral:rRNA from 1 species